GGAUGGGAAUGCAAUGGAGCAUCCCCUGCGUGAGCUCAUGCAGUGCCAAGGGAAUUUGCCAGUAUCUCCCAGAUGACGUGAUUGUGAAAUGCAAGCGCACCGUACCUGUGUGAGGGAGCGGAUUGUGCUCUGAGGUCUGGUUCUGCGCUCCCUCCUUGCCUUUCCCCGCAUCCCUGUGUGCCACAGAGCCAGCUGCUCCCGGAAUAGCUGGGGAAUGAAAUGUCACCGUUUGAAACUGGCACUGGAUUCUGGUGGCCAUGGAGAGGACAGGCCACCCAUUUGCAGGCUCUGCUUCAGCAAGACUAACCCCCAGCUGAAGGACAGAUGGUUUCAGGGAUUCGGCUGCCACUGCGGCCUGCAGAGAGUCAGAGCA